GUGCCAGCCGCCGCGGUAAUACGUAGGGUCCAAGCGUUAAUCGGAAUUACUGGGCGUAAAGCGUGCGCAGGCGGUUGUGCAAGACCGAUGUGAAAUCCCCCGGGCUUAACCUGGGAAUUGCAUUGGUGACUGCACGGCUAGAGUGUGUCAGAGGGGGGUAGAAUUCCACGUGUAGCAGUGAAAUGCGUAGAGAUGUGGAGGAAUACCGAUGGCGAAGGCAGCCCCCUGGGAUAACACUGACGCUCAUGCACGAAAGCGUGGGGAGCGAAACAGGAUUACGAUACCCUGGUAGUCCACGCCCUAAACGAUGUCAACUAGUUGUUGGGGAUUCAUUUCCCUUAGUAACGUAGCUAACGCGUGAAGUUGACCGCCUGGGGAGUACGGUCGCAAGAUUAAAAACGUCAAAGGAAAUUGGCGG
rnacentral:rRNA from 1 species